rnacentral:rRNA from 1 species
GACGAACGCUGGCGGCGUGCUUAACACAUGCAAGUCGAACGGAAAGGCCCUGCUUUUGUGGGGUGCUCGAGUGGCGAACGGGUGAGUAACACGUGAGUAACCUGCCCUUGACUUUGGGAUAACUUCAGGAAACUGGGGCUAAUACCGGAUAGGAGCUCCUGCUGCAUGGUGGGGGUUGGAAAGUUUCGGCGGUUGGGGAUGGACUCGCGGCUUAUCAGCUUGUUGGUGGGGUAGUGGCUUACCAAGGCUUUGACGGGUAGCCGGCCUGAGAGGGUGACCGGCCACAUUGGGACUGGGAUACGGCCCAGACUCCUACGGGAGGCAGCAGUGGGGAAUAUUGCACAAUGGGCGGAGGCCUGAUGCAGCAACGCCGCGGGCGGGAUGACGGCCUUCGGGUUGUAAACCGCUUUCGCCUGUGACGAAGCGUGAGUGACGGUAAUGGGUAAAGAAGCACCGGCUAACUACGUG